rnacentral:lncRNA from 1 species
GAGAGGGAAAGUCUGUGGCCUGGAGGCAAUGGUGUGGCCGAGACUCAUCUCAGGCACACCAGCCUGAUGUAGGACAGACUCAUUUGUAGCCCUGAGUAAGGUAAGCCUGCAGUUGCUACUGCUCAGGAUUAGCAGGGGAAGAGGGUGGGUUAAUCUUUGGUCAGCAGAGGGAGGGAGGCAUAAGUGAUUUCUCCCGGGAGGGGAAAAGGGAGGCAAAAAUUGAUAUUAUAAAUGAUAUAAAGGUAAAUAAAAUGGGUCCCUGAUGAAAAUCCCUGUUUACAAUCUAACUGGGAAAGAAAGACAUACAUAACAAAUAAAGAACCUUACAUGUAGUGAAAUUGGGCUGAGAUGCAUUUUGAUUUGGAGAGGAAGAUUGGCUGGGGCAAGUCUUGAAGGUCUGAAUGCAGUGUUCCAACUUUCUCCUAUAGACCUGGGGGAGCCACUGUAGUGUGUGAGCAAGGGAGUGACUUCAUAGAUGUGAUAUUUUAAAAACAGCGGAUCUGAUUAUAGUGGGUAUGGAGAGACAGGCGUGUUUUCUUAAACAUAUUUUUCAAGCAUAAUUUCUCUUCUCCACUUUGGAAUUUUUUCUGUUUUUCCUUUGGUGUCCUCUGAUUGAUUCCAGGCUCUCCCAUGUCACAUGCACAGCUAUUUCAGCAUUCCAGGGCCUUCGUGUUCCGGAAAGGAAUACAGUAACAAUAGGAGCAGAUCUGAUGAUAGCAGUAACAGUAAAUAGUUUGUAACCAAGUAGAGCCAUUGUUGAAAACAAACUGCAAAUUUAUUCAGGGAUUUCGCUAGAGGUAGACAGAAUCUAUCUUCGCAUCUUCUUCACAUCUCAUUUUCGAAGUUCAGGGAUGGUAUUUGUUGAAGAGCAGAUGCCCAGAAGUUACUUAAAAACAUUUUAUCCCUUGUUCUAGGAAUAAUGGAAGCCAGAAAACCACAAGAAAAAUUCUCUACAGUGAAGCUAACCCAAGUAUGAGUGAAAUACAUCUAAUUAGGAUAAUUCCUUAAAAAACUAAGCACUAGAUCUCACCAAAUGAAAUGUCACUGGCCAUACUCUUUCCCACUUGAGUGUCCUGAGGAAUUUUUGAUCUAUAAGAAGAAUAAACUCACCCCUGCAUUGUAUGAUGCAUCUGACGAUGAUCGCCUGUUGGAAUACCUAUCCAGUCGCCAACUUUCUCUCUCUUUUGGAUUAUGUCUAUCUUCCCCUUUAUUUGAAUUAUCUUUUAGAUUCCUACACUUGUUCUGUCCUAUGCCUAGAACACUCAAGAGUCUCAAUGUUCUAAGAAGUAGUAACAAUAUUGUCUGGAUGACAAUAGAAAUAGUCAUCAGUAAUGACAACAUUUUAUACACAUUCUAUCACUACAUCACUAAUUGCAACAUGACCAUAAAGCUCUGGGGCUUGAAUGAGAAAGAGAAGAUGAAGUCAUCCAGAGCAUUAGUCAGUCUCUCCGAGUGCUAGCAUUCAGUUCCAAGGUUUCCAAUAGGGAACUCUUAUUUUCAGGAUUUUAUAACUUGGCACUUGUAAUCCGCUGUCGUUUUAAACUUGACAUGAAAGGCCCCAGGCAUAGGAACAUAAGCAACUCAUUCUGAAUUAUAUAAAAAAGGGGCAACAAACAUAAACUCCAAUCAUUCACAAACGGCUAUUUAAAAAUGACAUUUAUAAGCAGCCAUUCCUCAGGUGACCAUUCUGCCAUCAGUGCCACGGCCAAUACCAUCUAUCACCCACAGAGAAUUCUGGAAAGCAGGAGCUACAUACACCAUCAAAUAACCUCUUGGAAGAAAUGUUGUUUUAAGUCUGAUCUCUAUAUCUAUUGUUUCAAGCACAUGAAGAUGGUCUGCAUAUUAAUGAUUUUGUUACUAUUUCUUAAAAUGUGUAUGUAUUUGUACCAAAAAUGUUGUUUAAAAUGCAUUUUGCACUGCUUUCAGCACUUUUCUUUCCUCAUCAGCACCAGUCUCCUGGUGAUGACUGGAGGCCACAAUUAACCAAGCAGCUGCCCUUGGCUAGCCUCUGCUCAGGGUGUUCAAAGCCCAUCAGACGCUUCUCAACAUGUCAUUAUUAUUGCUAAGCAACAACUGGCUAGAACUGACCCUGACUGAGGGAAGCAAAUGGCGUUUCAGAAAUUCUACAGAAAAUGAUUGGUGUGCAAAGACCUAGCCAACCACCUGGGGAAGGAAAAAUAUAAUAACAAAGCAAUGCUGAUGAAAAUAAUAACGACAGUGGCGUCUAUUUUAGGAUACACAUGUGAACAAGAAUGUCUUCAAUUCCCCACUACCAUGUGCCAAUCAAGCUGAUAUGGGGAGAUUUUCUUAGCCUACACAUAUUUAUUAGUCAUUUUACACACAUUCAGAAUUAUGAAAAGUCAGGAUAGAAUUCCCAUCUAAAGGGGUUUAUGAUCUAGUUAUAAAGAUAGUAAUAUACAUAAAAAUCUGGGGAAACAUCAGCACAAUUACUAAAUGUUAAUCUGUGAGAGCUGAGAGAAGAGAAGAUGAAUGAGACUGGAACAGCAAGAGAGGCCUUGAUGAAUAGUGGGAUUCUGAUCCAUGGAGAGAAAAGACAUUCCAGAUGACAGCUUCCAUGACAGGAAAAGCUAAGAGACUGAUAAAUGUAGGGUAGGGGUGAAUCUUCAAGUCUACAUAGCACCUGACGAGCCACUGUCACACAGUUAAGGGGCUGCUAUAUUCUGAUAUCUGAGAGCCAGUUAGAAACGGAGUUUCUCAGGCCCCGCCCCAGACCUACUGAAUCAGAAUCUGCCUUGUCACAAAAUCCCCAGGGGAUUCUUGCAUGCAUUAAAGUCUGCCAAGCACCACCAUAGACCACAGAGGAAACACUGGGAGAGGAGGCCCAGUUUCCUCAUCUAUAGAGGAAGAGAGACUAGAAAUACUCAUCAAAAUUCUGUAACAGAAGAAUGCUUUUUGUCAAUUAAAAUCUCACAUAAAACCUGAAUAUCUGAGAGAAACACAGGUUGCCAUUCAUCCCAUGUAAAACACAUCUUAAGGCCCAAAUGAGAGGGCUGUGUGUAAUGUUGGAAACUGUUUUUGUUGAGUUUUGAAGGAACAUCUUAGAAUUCUUUUGUUAACCAGUGAGAAGCAGAUAUAGGACAAAGAGUGGGGGAAAUGCCGGGCAGUAUUCCUCUUCUCUCUGUGUUAGGGUCCCUUCUGCCAGAUUUUCCACCUGGGAGUGAUCAUCGACGUCAUCAGCCACUUCAGAUCAACAAAUGUUUAUUGAGUUUUCAUUUUGCCUAGAGCAUAACCCAUGC